AUUAUACAGCGAAACUGCGAAUGGCUCAUUAUAUAAGUUAUCGUUUAUUUGAUAGUACCUUACUACUUGGAUAACCGUGGUAAUUCUAGAGCUAAUACAUGCUAAAAAUCCCGACUUCGGAAGGGAUGUAUUUAUUAGAUUAAAAACCAAUGCCCUUCGGGGCUCCUUGGUGAUUCAUGAUAACUUCUCGAAUCGCAUGGCCUUGCGCCGGCGAUGGUUCAUUCAAAUUUCUUCCCUAUCAACUUUCGAUGUUUGGGUAUUGGCCAAACAUGGUUGCAACGGGUAACGGAGGGUUAGGGCUCGACCCCGGAGAAGGAGCCUGAGAAACGGCUACUACAUCCAAGGAAGGCAGCAGGCGCGCAAAUUACCCAAUCCCGACACGGGGAGGUAGUGACAAUAAAUACUGAUACAGGGCUCUUUUGGGUCUUGUAAUUGGAAUGAGUACAAUUUAAAUCCCUUAACGAGGAACAAUUGGAGGGCAAGUCUGGUGCCAGCAGCCGCGGUAAUUCCAGCUCCAAUAGCGUAUAUUAAAGUUGUUGUGGUUAAAAAGCUCGUAGUUGAACCUUGGGCCUGGCUGGCCGGUCCGCCUCACCGCGUGUACUGGUCCGGCCGGGCCUUUCCCUCUGUGGAACCCCAUGCCCUUCACUGGGUGUGGCGGGGAAACAGGACUUUUACUUUGAAAAAAUUAGAGUGCUCCAGGCAGGCCUAUGCUCGAAUACAUUAGCAUGGAAUAAUAGAAUAGGACGUGUGGUUCUAUUUUGUUGGUUUCUAGGACCGCCGUAAUGAUUAAUAGGGACAGUCGGGGGCAUCAGUAUUCCGUUGUCAGAGGUGAAAUUCUUGGAUUUACGGAAGACUAACUACUGCGAAAGCAUUUGCCAAGGAUGUUUUCAUUAAUCAGGAACGAAAGUUAGGGGAUCGAAGACGAUCAGAUACCGUCGUAGUCUUAACCAUAAACUAUGCCGACUAGGGAUCGGACGAUGUUAUUUUUUGACUCGUUCGGCACCUUACGAGAAAUCAAAGUGCUG
rnacentral:rRNA from 1 species